rnacentral:rRNA from 1 species
GACGAACGCUGGCGGCGUGCCUAAUACAUGCAAGUCGAACGCUGAAGGAGGAGCUUGCUCUUCUGGAUGAGUUGCGAACGGGUGAGUAACGCGUAGGUAACCUGCCUGGUAGCGGGGGAUAACUAUUGGAAACGAUAGCUAAUACCGCAUAAGAGCAGCUGUUGCAUGACAUUUACUUAAAAGGUGCAACUGCAUCACUACCAGAUGGACCUGCGUUGUAUUAGCUAGUUGGUGGGGUAACGGCUUACCAAGGCGACGAUACAUAGCCGGCCUGUGUGGGUGAACGGCCACAAUGGGACUGAGACACGGCCCAGACUCCUACGGGAGGCAGCAGUAGGGAAUCUUCGGCAAUGGACGGAAGUCUGACCGAGCAACGCCGCGGGAGUGAAGAAGGGUUUCGGAUCGUAAAGCUCUGUUGUAAGAGAAGAACGAGUGUGAGAGUGGAAAGUUCACACUGUGACGGUAUCUUACCAGAAAGGGACGGCUAACUACGUG